rnacentral:rRNA from 1 species
AGAGUUUGAUCAUGGCUCAGAACGAACGCUGGCGGCAGGCCUAACACAUGCAAGUCGAGCGCUGUAGCAAUACAGAGCGGCGCACGGGUGAGUAACACGUGGGAACGUGCCCUUUGGUUCGGAAUAACUCAGGGAAACUUGAGCUAAUACCGGAUGAGCCGGAAACGGGAAAGAUUUAUCGCCAUUGGAGCGGCCCGCGUUGGAUUAGCUAGUUGGUGGGGUAAUGGCCUACCAAGGCAACGAUCCAUAGCUGGUUUGAGAGAACGACCAGCCACACUGGGACUGAGACACGGCCCAGACUCCUACGGGAGGCAGCAGUGGGGAAUCUUGGACAAUGGGGGAAACCCUGAUCCAGCCAUGCCGCGUGAGUGAUGAAGGCCCUAGGGUUGUAAAACUCUUUCGGCGGGGACGAUAAUGACGGUACCCGCAGAAGAAGCUCCGGCUAACUUCGUGCCAGCAGCCGCGGUAAUACGAAGGGGGCUAGCGUUGUUCGGAAUUACUGGGCGUAAAGCGCGCGCAGGCGGUCCUUCAAGUCAGGGGUGAAAGCCCAGGGCUCAACCCUGGAAUGGCCUUUGAGACUAGAGGACUUGGGUACGGGAGAGGUGAGUGGAAUUCCGAGUGUAGAGGUGAAAUUCGUAGAUAUUCGGAAGAACACCAGUGGCGAAGGCGGCUCACUGGCCCGUUACCGACGCUCAGGCGCGAUAGCGUGGGGAGCAAACAGGAUUAGAUACCCUAGUAGUCC